GACAGAGGUCCCGAGCGUUAGGCGGAAUCACUGGGCUUAAAGCGUGUGUAGGCGGAGUGCUAAGUACCUUGUGAAAUCCCACGGCUUAACCGUGGAACUGCUGGGUAUACUGGUUCUCUUGGGCCACUUAGGGGUUACCGGAACAAACGGUGGAGCGGUGAAAUGCGUAGAUAUCUGGAGGAACACCGGUGGCGAAGGCGGCAUCCUGGACCGGCAUUGACGCUGAGGAGCGAAAGCCAGGGGAGCGAACGGG
rnacentral:rRNA from 1 species